ACAGGUGCCCCGCCUGAGCCUGCUUUUCAUUUUACGCGCACAUAGAAGACAGGGAAAUAUUGGACAUCUUGGAAGCGUAGUAAAUUGGCUCUUUAUGCCCUUUUUUCCCGUUUGGCUCCACGCGUGGCAGGGCUGGCGAUGUCCUGACCCACAUUCCAACCGACUGCGUGUGGACGGUGAGGGGACACAGGGGAGGAGAUGUGGGGUCCCCACGCGGGCGGAGGUGCUCGGAGAGGAAGGAGGUUUUCAACAUGAGCCCAAGCCCCAAGAUUUCUGAGGGUGAUGCUGAGGGCCUGAGGAGGUCCUGAGAAAGGGAUCGCGGUGGAUAAGAAGAAAUGAUCAUGACUUUCAGAUCCACAGAUGCCGUGCCCCCUUGACUUUUAAGGUCACCCAGGUAGAGUGAGGACGGAAUGACCACCCAACAGCCCAGACAGUGCCCUGGGCGAGAGCAUGAGCUCUGUUGUCCCCACCACGGGGCACAGUUGCCAGGUUCGUGGAAGGGAGUAUGACCCAUCUGGGGAAGACCACGUCGGGAACUGCCUGACACUUAAAGAAUGUACAAGAAACUAUCUAUGCAGGGCGCCUGGGUGGCUCAGUCGUUAAGCGUCUGCCUUUGGCUCAGGUCAUGAUCCCAGGGUCCUGGGAUCGAGCCCCGCAUCGAGCCCCGC